rnacentral:rRNA from 1 species
AUUGAACGCUGGCGGCAUGCUUUACACAUGCAAGUCGAACGGCAGCACGGGCUUCGGCCUGGCGGCGAGCGGCGGACGGGUGAGGAAUGCAUCGGAAUCUACCUCGUUGUGGGGGAUAACGUAGGGAAACUUACGCUAAUACCGCAUACGACCUACGGGUGAAAGUGGGGGACCUUCGGGCCUCACGCGAUGAGAUGAGCCGAUGCCGGAUUAGCUAGUUGGCGGGGUAAAGGCCCACCAAGGCGACGAUCCGUAGCUGGUCUGAGAGGAUGAUCAGCCACACUGGGACUGAGACACGGCCCAGACUCCUACGGGAGGCAGCAGUGGGGAAUAUUGGACAAUGGGGGAAACCCUGAUCCAGCUACGCUGCGUGGGUGAUGAAGGCCUU